GGAUUCCCCUAGUAACUGCGAGUGAAGCGGGAAGAGCUCAAAUUUAAAAUCUGGCGGUCUUUCGGCCGUCCGAGUUGUAAUUUAGAGAAGCGUUUUCCGCGCCGGACCGUGUACAAGUCUCCUGGAACGGAGCGUCGUAGAGGGUGAGAAUCCCGUCUUUGACACGGACAGCCGGUGCUCUGUGAUACGCUCUCGAAGAGUCGAGUUGUUUGGGAAUGCAGCUCAAAAUGGGUGGUGAACUCCAUCUAAAGCUAAAUAUUGGCGAGAGACCGAUAGCGAACAAGUACCGUGAGGGAAAGAUGAAAAGCACUUUGGAAAGAGAGUGAAACAGUACGUGAAAUUGCUGAAAGGGAAACGCUUGAAGUCAGUCGCGUCCGCCGGGACUCAGCCCUCGUGGUGUACUUUCCGGCGGACGGGCCAGCAUCACUUUCGAUCGUCGGAAAAGGGCGGAGGAAAUGUGGCACCCUUCGGGGUGUGUUAUAGUCCUCCGUCGGAUACGGCGGUCGGGAGUGAGGACCGCCUUUGUUGCAGGAUGCUGGCGUAAUGGCUUUAAACGACCCGUCUUGAAACACGGACCAAGGAGUCUAACAUGCCCGCGAGUGUUCGGGUGGCAAACCCGUGCGCGUAAUGAAAGUGAAAGGUCGGGAAGGCUGUCGUGGCCCGCACCGACGCCCGGACCUGAGAUUCAUCGACGGUUCUGCGGUAGAGCGUGUAUGUUGGGACCCGAAAGAUGGUGAACUAUGCCUGAAUAGGGUGAAGCCAGAGGAAACUCUGGUGGAGGCUCGUAGCGAUUCUGACGUGCAAAUCGAUCGUCGAAUUUGGGUAUAGGG
rnacentral:rRNA from 1 species